rnacentral:rRNA from 1 species
UACGUAGGGUGCGAGCGUUGUCCGGAAUUACUGGGCGUAAAGAGCUCGUAGGUGGUUUGUUGCGUUGCUCGUGAAAACUCACAGCUCAACUGUGGGCGUGCGGGCGAUACGGGCAGACUGGAGUACUGCAGGGGAGACUGGAAUUCCUGGUGUAGCGGUGGAAUGCGCAGAUAUCAGGAGGAACACCGGUGGCGAAGGCGGGUCUCUGGGCAGUAACUGACGCUGAGGAGCGAAAGCGUGGGGAGCGAACAGG